GAAUCAGGCGGGCGGCGUGCCUCAGACAUGCAAGUCGAACGCGAAAGUCCCUUCGGGGGACAAGUAGAGUGGCGCACGGGUGAGUAACACGUAGGUAAUCUACCUUCGGGUGGGGAAUAGAACCGGAAACGGUUGCUAAUACCGCAUAAUGCAGCGGCACCUAAUGGUGACAGUUGUUAAAGCGGGGGAUCGAAAGAUCUCGCGCCUGAGGAGGAGCCUGCGGCGGAUUAGCUAGUUGGUAGGGUAACGGCCUACCAAGGCGACGAUCCGUAGCCGGCCUGAGAGGGCGGUCGGCCACACUGACACUGACAUACGGGUCAGACUCCUACGGGAGGCAGCAGUCGGGAAUUUUGGGCAAUGGGCGAAAGCCUGACCCAGCAACGCCGCGUGAAGGAUGAAAUCCCUCGGGAUGUAAACUUCGCAAGAACGGGAAGAAUAAGUCUAUGUUAAUACCAUAGGCGAUGACGGUACCGUUUGUAAGCUCCGGCUAACUCCGUGCCAGCAGCCGCGGUAAUACGGGGGGUGCAAGCGUUGUCCGGAUUUAUUGGGCGUAAAGCGCACGCAGGCGGUCUUGUAAGUUUCGAGUGACAGGUGGUGGCUCAACUACCACAGGCCUUGGAAAACUGCAAGACUUGAGGGCUUGAGAGGGACGCGGAAUUCCAGGUGGAGCGGUGAAAUGCGUAGAGAUCUGGAAGAACACCGACGGCGAAGGCAGCGUCCUGGCAAGAACCUGACGCUCAUGUGCGAAAGCUAGGGGAGCGAACGGGAUUAGAUACCCCGGUAGUCCUAGCCGUAAACGAUGACCACUAGACGUGGGAGGUAUCGACCCCUUCCGUGUCAAAGCUAACACGAUAAGUGGUCCGCCUGGGGAAUACGGUCGCAAGAUUAAAACUCAAAGGAAUUGACGGGGACCCGCACAAGCAGCGGAGCGUGUGGUUUAAUUCGAUGCAACGCGAAGAACCUUACCAAGGCUUGACAUGGACUUGCACCAGCCGUAAUGGGCUGUCCCUUCGGGGCAGGUUCACAGGUGCUGCAUGGCUGUCGUCAGCUCGUGUCGUGAGAUGUUGGGUUAAGUCCCGCAACGAGCGCAACCCCUAUCGUUAGUUGAAUGGUCUAGCGAGACUGCCACGCUAAACGUGGAGGAAGGUGGGGAUGACGUCAAGUCAGCACGGCCCUUACGCCUUGGGCGACACACACGCUACAAUGGUCAGGACAAAGAGCGUGCCAACCCGCGAGGGGGAGCUAAUCUCAUCAAACCUGAUCUCAGUUCAGAUUGCAGGCUGAAACCCGCCUGCAUGAAGUCGGAGUUGCUAGUAACCGUAGGUCAGCACACUA
rnacentral:rRNA from 1 species